UUUACCUGUUUUAAUGAACCCUGAUUACAGUUUUAAUUACAAGAGCAAAAGAAACCACACGAGAAACUAAAGUAUACAUGGUUCCUUGUAACGUCAAGUUUUGUCUCUCUUUACAAAGUAUUACAUAACCGUUGAGAGACAGAUGGAAAGCUUUAAGAAAGAAGCGAAAGCAGAAAGACCUUGAACACAAGAAAUAAUUGUCUUUUUCUUACAUCAUCCCCUCAAAAUGGAAAAUAUAUAUUUAUAUAUGUACACAACCAAAAAAAAAAAAAAAAAGAGACAUUAAAAUAAAAAUGUGAUAGCAUAAUGUCACCCUCCCUCUUCAUCUGGUUUUCUUCAUUACAACUAAAAACCAGCAAUAAUACAAAGCCAGAGCACUUUUAUAUCAUGGUAUCAAAGAGGGUAGAGGAAUACACUUUAUUAAAAUUGUUCAUCUUGACAGGUUAAAAUCCAGGUAAGGGGUACAAACAAAAUACCAGCAAUAAUAUCAACAUUAAAAAUGAUAACUGGUAAUAUAAACAAAAAAGGUAUAAUAAAACAGCACUGUUUAUAUUGAAUAUAGAGCAAGAGGAAAACAAAGUAUUUUCUAACAAAUAAGGCAGCUGUCAGUUAAAAUACAGAUACUGAACCGGUGUAAGGCCGCCAAACAAACUCCAAAAAAGUCAAAAGAGGGGGAAAAAAAUGAGUGUUAAGUGUGUCAGGUCCUAUACUUCCUACUUAGAUGAGGGCUAAGAGGCUGAAUGUCCACUUUCUAGUUGUCAGUUCGGUGAAGUGAGGUCCCUUUCUUCGAGGCCGUCAUUGACUACGAAGUCCCUGCAAUUUUGCUACAAAUUGAGCUGGCCGUAGCCAAACGCUAAGCCAAAUAGGAUGUCUUACCUGUUCAAUCUUGAUCAUCGUAGAUAAAGAACAGCCUCCUACAACUAAAACACUGCAGAGAGACUGAGAUGGAGAACGCAAAUGCGACGGGUCGAGUUAAAACUAUACGUAGACCUUAUAAGGCCAAGGACAGCUGUGCCAUUCAGGGUUCUCAACGAUUGGUCAGUUAUGUUUAAGUUUGUCUAUAACAACACUUUUCUUUCACAGUAAAGCACUGUAGGGCCCUGAAACCAAACAUCCCGCUGACAUAGAUUUACCAUAUAGAUUUACCUUCUGAAAUAUAAUUUGUAUCAAAACCAACGUUUGUUCUUUUAUCAAAUAUAUACGACUAUCGUGCAAUAAAGAGAGAAUAUAUGGACUCUAAAUGCAAAUCUUAUUUAGGAUAGUUUCUUUUAAGGUACAAAACUAAAUAAGGCAUAAAAGCAGUGUUUGAGGUCAUGUUUCUAAGGCCUCUCCUGUAUGCGAGUUGGUACGUGUCGAUAAAGCAACCCAUUGAAAAGCACUGGGCGGUCAGUCUUCCGUAAAAAGGCACAAAUGUUUGUUCAUUUGAAGGCUUUGUAUUCAAAGACAACCUGUUGGAUAGAGGAAAGGGGUGUGGGGUGGUAUGCCUGAGAUUUACCGCCAACAAACCAUGAAGAUUUGCGUCCUUUACAAAACAGCAAGGUGUACAUGAUUGUUUGAGUGG